UACGUAGGUGGCAAGCGUUGUCCGGAAUUAUUGGGCGUAAAGCGCGCGCAGGCGGUCCUUUAAGUCUGAUGUGAAAGCCCACGGCUCAACCGUGGAGGAUCAUUGGAAACUGGGGGACUUGAGUGCAGAAGAGGAAAGCGGAAUUCCACGUGUAGCGGUGAAAUGCGUAGAGAUGUGGAGGAACACCAGUGGCGAAGGCGGCUUUCUGGUCUGUAACUGACGCUGAGGCGCGAAAGCGUGGGGAGCAAACAGG
rnacentral:rRNA from 1 species